GAUGAACGCUGACAGAAUGCUUAACACGUGCAAGUCAACUUGAACUUCGGUUUGGGUGGCGGACGGGUGAGUAACGCGUAAAGAACUUGCCUCACAGUUAGGGACAACAUUUGGAAACGAAUGCUAAUACCUGAUAUUAUGAUUUUAGGGCAUCCUAGAAUUAUGAAAGCUAUAUGCGCUGUGAGAGAGCUUUGCGUCCCAUUAGCUAGUUGGAGAGGUAACGGCUCACCAAGGCGAUGAUGGGUAGCCGGCCUGAGAGGGUGAACGGCCACAAGGGGACUGAGACACGGCCCUUACUCCUACGGGAGGCAGCAGUGGGGAAUAUUGGACAAUGGACCAAGAGUCUGAUCCAGCAAUUCUGUGUGCACGAUGAAGUUUUUCGGAAUGUAAAGUGCUUUCAGUUGGGAAGAAAAAAAUGACGGUACCAACAGAAGAAGUGACGGCUAAAUACGUGCCAGCAGCCGCGGUAAUACGUAUGUCACAAGCGUUAUCCGGAUUUAUUGGGCGUAAAGCGCGUCUAGGUGGUUAUAUAAGUCUGAUGUGAAAAUGCAGGGCUCAACUCUGUAUUGCGUUGGAAACUGUGUAACUAGAGUACUGGAGAGGUAAGCGGAACUACAAGUGUAGAGGUGAAAUUCGUAGAUAUUUGUAGGAAUGCCGAUGGGGAAGCCAGCUUACUGGACAGAUACUGACGCUGAAGCGCGAAAGCGUGGGUAGCAAACAGG
rnacentral:rRNA from 1 species